AAACGCUUCUCAUUCGAACCCUAACGAAUGGGGGAAGUUUAGGACGAUUUUUGGAGGCCAGAAGGGUUCUUAGAAGCUGUGGUUUUCGAGAUUUCAACCUAGAUAUCAACUUGGAAGAAGAUCAAAGGCAAUAACACACUACUUUUAUCUUAAUCUUUUGCAUAAACCAUGUUUCAAUCAUUAGAUUAUGUUUUUAGUUUGUUAUUUGCUGUAGAUAUGAGCUAAAAACUCAUAACUUCUGUUUAGGAUAGAUGAUUUUGUGAUUAUGGUUUGAUUUAUGGUAGGAUUGAUUUAAUAUUGGUGAUUUUGUUGAUUCUAGCUUGUUAAAGAACCUUAUGUGUGAAUGAUAACUAUUUUUCUGUUAAUAGGAAGAUAAUUGAGCUGCAUGAACAUCUCUUAGUUGUUAACCUCAUAUGUUUAUGUGACCACUUUAUCAUAUGUCUAGGAUUAAUGAACAUGAAACUAGAAUUAAUAAGAAAAAUAGGUAAAUUCAUGUGUGAGCUUGUGUGAUGACCAUCAACAAGAGGUUAACUAAAGGACCAAAUUAGUUAACCAUUACAAGUCUAAAUUAACCCGAAUAAAUAACCUAGUGAAUUGAAUUAAAUUAGACAACUGGGCACUGUUUGAGUUAUUUUGUUCUCUAAGGAUUAGUGCAGCGAAAGUGAAUCUAAUCACUUGAAUCGGUAGCGAAUAAAAGAAUUAAUCCAUUGCACUAUUACCAUAAUAUCAACCAUAGGAUCAAUUGAGUUGAACUAAACAGAAGUUCCCUUCGUUAUUGAAUUUAGUUGAAUCUUUGUUUAUCUAGUUCUUAGUUUCUUAGUUUAAAUUUUAGUUAAUUGUUUAAGUUUCUAGUCUUGCAAAACUAGAGAAAACCCAUUUUCUAUUACUUGUUUUAUUUAGAUAAUAUUAACAUUUAUUUUAAUUGUUUACCGUUCCCUGUGUUCGAUACCCUACUUGCUUGAACUAUAUUACUAAUCGAUAGGUACACUGCCUUUCAUGUGUUUAUUUUGUGUCUAAGUUAGUAGGAGUAAAACUAAUUUGUUUCACACACAUCAAGUUUUUGGCGCUGUUGCCGGGGAACGGUUCUAAAUAGUUAAUUUUAUUUACUAAUUCUUAUCAUUUUUUUUAUUUGUUGAUUAAUUUUUUUAGUUUAAUUUUUAUUUAUUAUGUAUUUUCCAAAUCUCGAUGCUUUUGAUGCUUUUCUUGAGUAAGUAGUGCAGGUAAAUGAGCAAAAAGAUGAGGACUAUGAAUCAGAUGAUGAUUUGAAGAAAUUUGGAAGAUGGUUAGAUAACUUCUUGACUAACGAAGAAGAGCAAUCUGAGUCACAAGAGCUAAAGUUACAAGAUGAUGAAUUUAAUCCAGAAAGAGAUUUGGAGGAGCUGGAAAGGUUGCUAGCAGAGAGGUCAGACGAAGAACAAGAACAAGCUGAAUUGCAGGAACCAAGCUGUGGUUUGACCAUUACCACGACAUGGUCCCCUGUUCUUCCGGUUUGUGUUUCGAAGCAUGGGGUGACGAUUCCAACUUUGGAGAAAGUUCUAAAUCACGAUCCAUUUAUGAUUAGUAUCCAACCGGUUCCAACCCUUGUCAAUAUUCUUGGGUUUUAUGAAUUCAAGCUCGUUUGGCUAAUUUUUGAAGCAAAGAGUCGAAUUUUACAAAUUGGUCCACCAAAGAAAAUAUUCAAUGCAACGAAUAGAUUGGAAUUGAGUUUAUUGGAAAUUUAUUAAGUUGGGAGUCCAGCUAAAGACUCGCACAAAAAGAAGCGCUUGCGGGAGGAAACCCGUCAUUAGAGUUUGCUUUUCUUUUUCUUUUUAAACUUCUAGUUUAUUAGGGUAAUUUAGGAUUUUAAUUUUGAUGUUUGUUUUCAUUUUUCUAUUACUUGUGUGUUGUUUUGAUCUUUUCAGUUUGAAGCUUAGGAUUGCAUGUGAGGGUCUAGAGUCAAGGCUAAACGAAACGAGAAAUCGAGUCUAGGCGAGAGAGGAAACGAAGUUUGGAGUCAAGCCAUGAGUCCAAUUGAUAGAAGGGUUAUAGAGUGUUUAUUCACUGAAGAAAAAUGAGGGGAAGUAUUAGUUUAUAUAACCCCCAUACAUCAGAAACGGACCUGGGUAGAAUACAAACUUUUCCACACAACGAUCUACUCGCCGAGUGUAUCUUAUGGACUCGACGAGUCCAUGUGAAAUUUCGCGACUUUUCUACCAGUCAAGCUACAACUCGGCGAGUUAGCAUAUUUACUCGACGAGUCACUCUUUAAUUAUAUUUUCAAGAUUUGACCACAUUUGAUACGGGCAUUGGUUCUUUUCUUUGGAGAUCAUUUUCUGAGCAUUUCCAAGAAUUUUUCCCUUAUAUUUAGAGUUGUCAACCACACGAGAUUUGACACCCAAGGCAUGGAUGCACUGUUCCCAUGCCAAAGUCAGCUGAAGUUGGAGCUUUACAUGAAGAAGAUCAACCUCGUGAUUACUAUCCCAGGGGAGUUUGUUCCAAUUCUCUCUUUCCUUUUAUGUUUUUUUUAUCAUGCAUAAUAUGCAAUGGGGACAUUGCAUAAAUUAAGUGUGGGGUAGGGGGUUCGUUACAUUAGUUAAAAUUUUAGUUAAAAUUUGAAAAUUUUGAAAAUUUUGCACUAAAAUUGCUAGGGCUAAAUUAGAAAAUUUUGGUAAAAGCGAUUAGGGUUCGUGCUAGUAUUGUGUUUGAUGAUUCCUUGAGGACCUAAAUGUUUAGUUGAGUCUAUAUACGUUAUAGUGCAUUUGUGGCCCCCUUUAUUCUAGUGAAAUCAUGAGACAAAAACACAACCUCGCUUAGUUUGAGGAUCGCAACAUGUUUAGCAUCGUGUACCAGAAAUGUAUCCAAGAAAGCUUAAGUAGCCAUUGCACACUAGACUAAUGCCUUUAACCAAUAAAGGAUGAAGUUAAAUUCCCUUGCUUAAGCAUAUGUUUUUCUAGGUUUUUAGUUUUGAAUGGAAAAAGUAUGUUGAAAAAAAGAAAAAAAGAGAGAAAAAAAAAGAAAAAAAAAGAAAAAAAAAAGUUGAAAAAAAAAGAGUGAUGAAAUGUUUGAAUAAAGAAUCUACAAAGCUAUGAAGACAAAGAAGAAUAUCAUGAAGAAAAGCUACAAAGUAUAAAAGAUUCAAUCAAAAGUUGUAUUUGUAAUUUUCUUUUCUAGGUUAUUUUAUCAUAUGUAUGCUUGGGGAUUUAACAAAAAAUGACUUGAGGUUAAGAAAGUUUUCUGGGGAUGGAUUCGGAGGGAUGCAUAAAAUGAGCGUUGUUCAAAAGAAGUGAGCAAGUGUUUAUGAGGAUUGUAAGUAUUUAUAAUUGAGGGGGGUCCUUAGGAAAAAAAUUAGACACAAAUGCAUGCGUUCUGGUCUUGGCAUAAUGACUGGGUUCAAUUGGGAUUGUUUUAUGUAAUAUUAGUGUACUAAAAUUCAGUUUUGCUUGGGGGCAAGCAAAGGUUAAGUGUGAGGUAUUUUGAUAUGGGCAUAUCUAGUUAUAAAAUUCAUGCAUUAUCUUAAUACUUUAUGUUGUUUUUGUCUCAUUUAAUGAAAAAAAGGUGCUUAAUUAGUUUAGAAUUUCAUUUUUCAGCAACAAUGACAUGCUCGGGUGGAAAAGGAAGCGGAACUAGCGAUUGGAGGCUUGGAUCUUCGAUUUUGAAGAAAGAAGGAUGUUGCUGGACAGCUUGACCCUUCGUCAGUGUUUUGGCCAUAUAUCAUGAACCGUAACUCCGAUUGACGAGAGUCAAAAUGUUCUGAAAACUAUACACAAUUUCAGACGACUUUCAUGUUUUGAGAAAAUGCUGAUUCCAAACGGACUCGGCGAGUAGGCCAUCAACUCGCCGAGUUGGUCAGAAGUUUCGCGAUUCUUGACUUUGCCUUGCCGUACACGGGAUUUUAAGUGAUGUACUCGGCGAGUAGGUCACUGGACUCGUCGAGUAGCCCCUGUUUUCAGAAUAUAUAUAGAAACGCUUCUCAUUCGAACCCUAACGAAUGGGGGAAGUUUAGGACGAUUUUUGGAGGCCAGAAGGGUUCUUAGAAGCUGUGGUUUUCGAGAUUUCAACCUAGAUAUCAAAUUGGAAGAAGAUCAAAGGCAAUAACACACUACUUUUAUCUUAAUCUUUUGCAUAAACCAUGUUUCAAUCAUUAGAUUAUGUUUUUAGUUUGUUAUUUGCUGUAGAUAUGAGCUAAAAACUCAUAACUUCUGUUUAGGAUAGAUGAUUUUGUGAUUAUGGUUUGAUUUAUGGUAGGAUUGAUUUAAUAUUGGUGAUUUUGUUGAUUCUAGC
rnacentral:lncRNA from 1 species